CUCGGCAACUAUAUAUCUACCACCAUAUCUCUAACAUUAAUUACCCGUUUUCUUGCGGAAUAAGACUAGGAAGAGUAUCAUGUUUUUUUUUUGAAUCUGGAAGAGUAUCAUGUUAAACACAUGUUUAUAUCAUCUCAUACUACAUUUUAGCUUAUAAUUGCCAGACAUUUUUGUGUGCAAUAACAAUAUGUCUUGUCCCCGUGAGUUUAGCUCAGUUGACAGGAUACUACAUUAUAUUUAUGUAUGUAGGGGUCGUUGUUCAAAUCCCAAACAUCUCACUUAUUCAUUUUAAAUGCGAAAUUUUUAGCCUAAUACUUGGUGAAGUCAAUUAUCUACAAGUUCCAUGCUUCAUACCUAUAGAUCAUCACAAAAAUUUAGUAGAAAUAAAAUCUGCAAUUGCCAAGCUUGAUGUUAAACCAGGUGACUCAAU
rnacentral:lncRNA from 1 species